rnacentral:rRNA from 1 species
AUUGAACGCUGGCGGCAUGCCUAACACAUGCAAGUCGAACGGUAACAGGAAGCCGCUCACCGCUUCGCUGACGACUGGCGGACGGGUGAGAAAUGUGAAGGACGCUGGCUGAUGGAGGUGGACAACCACUAGCAGCGGUAGCUACUCCCGCAAAAUGUCGAAAGAACAAAGGGGGGGACCGUCGGGCCUCUUGAGAACGGGUCUGUCCAGAUGGGAUUAGCUGGUUGGUGGGGUAACGGCCAACCAAGGAGACGGUCCCUAGCUGGUCUGAGAGGAGGACCAGCCACACUGGAACUGAGACACGGCCCAGACUCCUACGGGAGGCAUCAGUGGGGAAUAUUGCACAAUGGGCGCAAGCCUGAUGCAGCCAUGCCGCGUGUGUGAAGAAGGCCUUCGGGUUGUAAAGUACUUUCGUCGGGGAAGAAAAGAUUGGAGGUAAUACGUUCGCUCAUUGACGUUACCCGAAGAAGAAGCACCGGCUAACUCCGUG